rnacentral:tRNA from 1 species
AUAAGGGUUAUUUUGAUAGAAUAAAUCAUGUAUUUUUAUACUCUUAUU